AACGAACGCUGGCGGCAGGCUUAACACAUGCAAGUCGAACGCAUCCUUCGGGGUGAGUGGCAGACGGGUGAGUAACGCGUGGGAACGUGCCCUUCAGUUCGGGAUAACCCAGGGAAACUUGGGCUAAUACCGGAUACGUGCGAGAGCAGAAAGAUUUAUCGCUGAAGGAUCGGCCCGGGUCUGAUUAGCUAGUUGGUGGGGUAAUGGCCCACCAAGGCGACGAUCAGUAGCUGGUCUGAGAGGACGAUCAGCCACAUUGGGACUGAGACCCGGCCCAAACUCCUACGGGAGGCAGCAGUGGGGAAUAUUGGACAAUGGGCGCAAGCCUGAUCCAGCCAUGCCGCGUGAGUGAUGAAGGCCUUAGGGUUGUAAAGCUCUUUCGUCCGGGACGAUAAUGACGGUACCGGAAGAAGAAGCCCCGGCUAACUUCGUGCCAGCCGCCGCAGUAA
rnacentral:rRNA from 1 species